UACAGAGGUCCCAAGCGUUGUUCGGAUUCACUGGGCGUAAAGGGUGCGUAGGCGGUCGGGUAAGUCUGGCGUGAAAUCUCCAAGCCUAACUUGGAAACUGCGUUGGAUACUAUCCGGCUCGAGGAAUGGAGGGGAGACUGGAAUACUUGGUGUAGCAGUGAAAUGUGUAGAUAUCAAGUGGAACACCAGUGGCGAAGGCGAGUCUCUGGACAUUUCCUGACGCUGAGGCACGAAAGCCAGGGGAGCAAACGGG
rnacentral:rRNA from 1 species